rnacentral:rRNA from 1 species
UACGAAGGGUGCAAGCGUUAAUCGGAAUUACUGGGCGUAAAGCGUGCGCAGGCGGCUUUGCAAGACAGAUGUGAAAUCCCCGGGCUCAACCUGGGAACUGCAUUUGUGACUGCAAGGCUAGAGUACGGUAGAGGGGGAUGGAAUUCCGCGUGUAGCAGUGAAAUGCGUAGAUAUGCGGAGGAACACCGAUGGCGAAGGCAAUCCCCUGGACCUGUACUGACGCUCAUGCACGAAAGCGUGGGGAGCAAACAGG